UUUCUUUUUUGCUUCCGUAAUAUUUAAUAAGGAGCACAUUUUGAAUCCCCUCUGUGGAUUUCAGUCUCUUUGUGGAAUUCAGCCCAGAAGUGAGGUAGACAUUGAGAAAAGUUUUAAUGCAAGGAGAUGAGCUAUUCAAAGGAUUCCAAAAUCUUCUUCCCUACAGAAACCAUUUGAUGGGCAGAACAUCAAGCUGGGCAACACCCAAGACGACCCCCGCCUCCCCAUCUGCAAUGCAGGGCUGGCAUGAAGGCACACACAAAAGCUUCAAAGCUUGCAAGGGACAGAGGCACAUUAGGGGACAUCUCAUCUUUGCAUGUGUGUAGGGACAGAGAAGGGAGGAAGGGGGAAGGGAGGUUGGCAACGCAGAUUUUCAGUCCAUACUCUUCUUUUACAAGCACAAUGUAAACAGAUUACAAAAGGGUGUUCCUUUGGACCCUAAGUGCUAUUUGGGAAACGAGCAAUACUUCAAAUGGUUUCUGUUGUUGGCAAAUAGUUCCACUACUUAAUGAAAGGUCCCUUUUUAUUACCGUAUGCCAAAUAGAUCACAUACAACAGAGAUGCGCAAAAAAGUUUAAGUAGGUUUUUCCUGAUCCAGUUUUCUACAACAUCACAGGCAAAGACAAACCACAAUAUGAACUAUUUUGGGGUGAAAAGGGAAUGAUUUCUAACAUAGUAACAACAUCAGCCUCAGCCAGUUAGGUAUUACCUUUAACAACACCUCAUAAAACUGCAUAUCUUUAAAAUAUUUCUUAAAUACCAGGGAGCAGACACUGCAAUAAAUAUUGAUGGCAGGGGUGUGUUGCUAUAGGGAAACAUUUUUGGCUUGUCUAUUAAUACCAUAAGAAUAGACAGCCACAUUUCAGCACAGCUUUCUGAGUCUCUUCUCAUUACAUUCCUUUGGAAAUCUGUACCCUUUCUGGGUACAGAUAACUCAUAUUGAAAUUUGUUGAAUUUUCAGGCAGUGAUAGUAGACAUGCCACAAGGUCUCCAAAACUAGUAUGCAAUAUAAUGGUUUGUUUUGUCAGGUAUUUAAUAUGGUGGCAGUAGGAAAUUUUGGACUGCAGGUGCUUAUAUCUGUGGGAUGUAUACAAAUACAGCCUAGAAGAUCAGUAACUUUCAAGGACCAAGGUAUCAUUUUAAAAUUAUCUGCCUACAUAAAUUUGACAGUGUUCUCUAUGCACAAUAUAGUCUUCCUGAAAACGUGCAUCCUGAAACAUGUGCAUCUUGAAAAUGCAUAUAUUUAAGAAACUUAAAAAAAA
rnacentral:lncRNA from 1 species